rnacentral:misc_RNA from 1 species
AUCAUUAAUGAGAGUGAAAAUUUUUGAUGUUAAGUUGCAAUGUUGAAAGUCAACUGGAAAAUAUUUUUUGGCAUGUAGAUUGGAAAAUAUUAAUUUGUUUUCAGUGAAUGAGAUUAUUGGACGGACCUAUAAGAACUUCAUACUCUGCUAUUUAUAGUUGAAUAUGGAGAAAAUUAUAUGAAAAAGGGGUAAAUUCUGAAUUUUGCUAGUGACAGCUAGAGAUGAUCAGCUGUGGUUAAUACACUAAUGGAUUUCUG